rnacentral:tRNA from 1 species
GCGGGAUUAGUACACCGGUAGUAUGCGUCCUUCCCAAGGAUGAGAAGGGGGUUCAAUUCCCCUAUCCCGCUCCA